rnacentral:rRNA from 1 species
UGGGGAAUUGUUCGCAAUGGGCGCAAGCCUGACGACGCAACGCCGCGUGGAGGAUGAAGACCUUCGGGUCGUAAACUCCUUUCGAUCGAGACGAAUGGCUUCCGGGUUAAUACCCCGGAAGAAUGACGGUACCGAGAGAAGAAGCCCCGGCUAACUCCGUGCCAGCAGCCGCGGUAAUACGGGGGGGGCAAGCGUUGUUCGGAAUUACUGGGCGUAAAGGGCUCGUAGGUGGCCAACUAAGUCAGACGUGAAAUCCCUCGGCUUAACCGGGGAACUGCGUCUGAUACUGGAUGGCUUGAGUUUGGGAGAGGGAUGCGGAAUUCCAGGUGUAGCGGUGAAAUGCGUAGAUAUCUGGAGGAACACCGGUGGCGAAGGCGGCAUCCUGGACCAACACUGACACUGAGGAGCGAAAGCCAGGGGAGCAAACGGGAUUAGAUACCCGUGUAGUCC